UACGAAGGGGGCUAGCGUUGUUCGGAAUUACUGGGCGUAAAGCGUAUGCAGGCGGACUUUUAAGUCGGGGGUGAAAUCCCGAGGCUCAACCUCGGAACUGCCUUCGAUACUGGAAGUCUUGAGUCCGGGAGAGGUGAGUGGAACUCCGAGUGUAGAGGUGAAAUUCGUAGAUAUUCGGAAGAACACCCGUGGCUAAGGCGGCUCUCUAGUACGGUACUGACGCUGAGACGCGAAAGCGUGGGGAGCGAACAGG
rnacentral:rRNA from 1 species